AACGAACGCUGGCGGCAGGCUUAACACAUGCAAGUCGAACGAGAUCUUCGGAUCUAGUGGCAGACGGGUGAGGAACACGUGGGAACAUCCCUUUCAGUUCGGAAUAACGUUGGGAAACUAACGCUAAUACCGGAUACGUCCUUCGGGAGAAAGAUUUAUCGCUGAAAGAUUGGCCCGCGGCUGAUUAGCUAGUUGGUGAGGUAAUGGCGCAACAAGGCUACGAUCGGUAGCUGAUCGGAGAGGAUGAUCAGCCACAUUGGUACUGGGCCACGGCCAAAACGCCUACGGGAGGCAGCAGUUGGGGAUAUUGGACAAUGGGCGCAAGCCUGAUCCAGCCAUGCCGCGUGAGUGAUGACGGCCUUCGGGUUGUAAGGCUCUUUUGUCCGGGAAGAUAAUGACUGUACCGGAAGAAUAAGCCCCGGCAAACUUCGUGCCAGCCGCCGCAGUAA
rnacentral:rRNA from 1 species